rnacentral:rRNA from 1 species
ACACGUAAGCAACCUGCCUAUCAGAGGGGAACAACAGUUAGAAAUGACUGCUAAUACCGCAUAUGCCUUAAUUACCACAUGGUAGUAGAGGGAAAGGAGCAAUCUGCUGAUAGAUGGGCUUGCGUCUGAUUAGAUAGUUGGUAAGGUAACGGCUUACCAAGUCGACGAUCAGUAGCCGGACUGAGAGGUUGAACGGCCACAUUGGGACUGAGAUACGGCCCAGACUCCUACGGGAGGCAGCAUG